GGGUCACUGUGUGUGGGGAGAGUCAGGGAUAGGAAGUUACAGAAUAUCCCUGCCUCUCUCUACUACUCACUGAUCCGUGGGGGUGCAGCUACACAGCAGAGAGAGUCAAGACAGCAGCUCUACAGCUCAGGUAAGUGAGGGAUGGGGGGAAAGGCAGCAGGGACACAUGGGGACACUGAGACACUAGGGGACACUGAGACACUAGGGGACACUGAGACACUAGGGGACAUAUGGGACACUGAGACACUAGGGGACACUGAGACACAUGGGGACACUGAGACACUAGGGGACAUAUGGCGACACCGAGACACUAGGGGACAUAUGGCGACAAUGAGACACUAGGGGACACAGACACUAGGGGACACAUGAUGACACAUACGCUAGGGGACACUGAGACACUAGGACACAGACACUGGGAGACCUGGGAACACUGAGACACUUGGGGACACUGGAAAACAUGGGGACACUGAGACACUAGGGGACACUGAGACACUUGGGGACAUAUGGGGACACUGAGACACUUGGGGACAUAUGGGGACACAGACACUAGGGGACACAGACCCUCUGGGACACAGACACUAGGGGACACUGAGACACUAGGACACAUGGUGACACAGACACUGGGAGACCUGGGGACACUGGAAAACAUGGGGACACUGGGACACAUGGGGAUGCUAAGACACAUGGGGACGCUGUGAGACAUAGGGACAUUGGGAGACACUGAGAC